AAAUAAGAAGCAAAAUAAUUGCAUUUAGUUUCGACCUAAACCUUUGGUGAGCACCCACCCUUAUUUA
rnacentral:tRNA from 1 species